rnacentral:rRNA from 1 species
GAUGAACGCUGGCGGCGUGCCUAAUACAUGCAAGUCGAGCGAACAGACGAGGAGCUUGCUCCUCUGACGUUAGCGGCGGACGGGUGAGUAACACGUGGAUAACCUACCUAUAAGACUGGGAUAACUUCGGGAAACCGGAGCUAAUACCGGAUAAUAUAUUGAACCGCAUGGUUCAAUAGUGAAAGACGGUUUUGCUGUCACUUAUAGAUGGAUCCGCGCCGCAUUAGCUAGUUGGUAAGGUAACAGCUUACCAAGGCAACGAUGCGUAGCCGACCUGAGAGGGUGCUCGGCCACACUGGAACUGAGACACGGUCCAGACUCCUACGGGAGGCAGCAGUAGGGAAUCUUCCGCAAUGGGCGAAAGCCUGACGGAGCGACGCCGCGUGAGUGAUGAAGGUCUUCGGAUCGUAAAACUCUGUUAUUAGGGAAGAACAAAUGUGUAAGUAACUAUGCACGUCUUGACGGUACCUAAUCAGAAAGCCACGGCUAACUACGUG